rnacentral:sRNA from 1 species
AUUUGUUGAGGACAAAUAAAGUGGAUAUGGGCAUCCACGCCGCCGGGAGUCAAAAUCAAACCCUCUCCUGCUAUGACUUCAGUGCCAGGCCCAAUAAUGACCGAAACGUUAUCCUGAAUAUCUGGAUUACCCGCUUUCCCUAUGGCAGCGAUUCUUCCGUGAUUUAUGCCGACAUCCGCCUUAACAAUACCCCAAUGAUCUAAAAUCAGAGCAUUUGUUAUCACAACAUCAACAGACUCACUGCAACUUUGUUGGCUUUGCCCCAUGCCAUCUCG